UGUAAAGAUACAAUUUCAACCAAGAGAUGUCAGGCAGCUGAAAGACCCACAUAUUGAGGCAGCAAAAUUUGUGAGCACUGGUGAAAACUUGGUACUGGGCUGGUUGGCCACAGUCACGUAGUGAAUCUGUGACAGCUCUGAACUGGGCCAGGAGGAAGAUAGCAGUUCUGUUUCAUGACAGUUUUUUGGUUCUGAUAUGCUGUUAUUCCAGGUAGAAUCACUUUUUUUUUUUUUUUUUCCAGAAAAAGAUGGAGUCUUAUCCAAACAUACUCAGACAUUUUUAGACCAUCUAUUUUAGCUACUUCUUUCCCUGGCAAUAACCUCAGAAAAACUCCUGUUGGAAGCACUACUGAUGCUAACAGUACGUCCACUAAAAUAUCUUUGGUGAAAUGGUGUACAUUAGGGAUGAGUCAAAAUGUUCAACCGCACAAGGUGAUGAGUGCUUCUGUUUAGCCACCUGGGAUCCAAGAAUACCUGGUCAAGUAUUUUGUGAGCUUCUGCCUGCUUAAACUGGCCGACAUGGGGAAGAAAACCACCAGAGAUUCAAA
rnacentral:lncRNA from 1 species